rnacentral:ncRNA from 1 species
GGAUUUUUUUUUUUAGUUUAUAGAUUUGAUUAUGGUCAUUGUAAUGAUAAAAUUGUGUUAUAUAAUUUUUAAUCACUUGAGUGGACAAUGUUUUUCUAUCCCGGCAAUGUAUUGCUUGUAUAAACUCAGUACCAGAAUAAUCGGAUAGACUGAGUAAGCUUAUACCCUAAAUGUGUUUUGGCCAAGGUUUUUUUUUUUGAUUUUUUUACAACUGUUUAGUGCAAUGUGCAGUUUUUUUUUGUUGUUUUGUCUUGGUCAAUAAGAUUAGACAAAUGACCUGGAUUAGUACCCAGUUAAUCUAAAUUUAAAAGUUGCAGGAGUAAAGUAAUAUUUAAACUGUAAUAAUAUUGGCGGAUUUUUUAAUUAUCUUUGGAGGUUGAGCUGUAAUUGAGAACCCUCAUUAUCAGCUUUGAUUUUUGUCGCAUGUAUGAUCGUUUAUGUCCUUCUUAAAGAGGUGCAUUAAAAAUUAUUUGGUGUUUAAUCAAUGAUAUUUAUUAAAACAGAUAAAUACCAUGGUAUAUAUCAAAGUUUUCGUUUGACCUACAAUAUCUUAUGUUUCGGAUAAGGAGGAGAGAUUCUUUUUUGAAGUUGUAAAAGACAGUAAAUGCUUUUUAAUGUAGCAUUGAAGUAUUUAGAGAAAUCGACAAAUCAUCCAUCAAUUGCCCACAGGGGAGUAAGUUGUAGUAAAGUAGGUGUAGGGGAAUCUGUACCUAGUUUAAGUUGG